rnacentral:piRNA from 1 species
UACUUGGUGUUAUGCAGCUGC